rnacentral:rRNA from 1 species
AACGAACGCUGGCGGCAUGCCUAACACAUGCAAGUCGAACGAGACCUUCGGGUCUAGUGGCGCACGGGUGCGUAACGCGUGGGAACCUGCCCUUAGGUUCGGAAUAACUCCCCGAAAGGGGUGCUAAUACCGGAUAAUGUCUUCGGACCAAAGAUUUAUCGCCUUUGGAUGGGCCCGCGUUGGAUUAGCUAGUUGGUAGGGUAAAAGCCUACCAAGGCGACGAUCCAUAGCUGGUCUGAGAGGAUGAUCAGCCACACUGGGACUGAGACACGGCCCAGACUCCUACGGGAAGCAGCAGUGGGGAAUAUUGGAAAAUGGGCGAAAGCCUGAUCCAGCAAUGCCGCGUGAGUGAUGAAGGCCUUAGGGUUGUAAAGCUCUUUUACCCGGGAUGAUAAUGACAGUACCGGGAGAAUAAGCUCCGGCUAACUCCGUG